rnacentral:lncRNA from 1 species
GAAAUCAAAGUGACGCAAUGACACGAGCUUGCUACGCGGAACAGGUUCGGAUCUGAGUGCAAAAGAAGCGUCAACUGGUGCUAUUGGCGGCGUCUCGAUGAUGUGUAGUGUCAAAGCGGUUGUGAUUGAUUCUCAGUGGCGGUUGCGGUAUUGCGGUGGAUCCGACGACAGUGGUCGUUUGAUGGAGGUGUGAUGAGCUAAGCACCGGAUUUACGGUUUCUGUAAAGAGACUUCCUCUUAUUAUUUAUUGAUGAUGGUUUGUUUGAAUAUUUUUUUGGAAAAAUAUUGUUUUGUGUUAGGAAGAGAGUUUGACUGAUAUAUUGCAGGCUUGGUUUGUUUAUGAUGACCUCAUGUUAAUGGGGAGUUUGAAAUGUAUGAAAAGAAGGAUGGAGUUGGAGUAAGGAAGAUGGUUAUGGAUUAUGUUUAUGGAUUGUGGAUUGUGGAUUGUUGGGAUGGUUAGUUGUCCCCCUUGUGCUGUAAGAAUGUGUAUUAUUUAUAUACAAAAAUCACUUUAAAAAUUAAUUAUAAAAUUAAAUCAAUUAAUCAAUACCAAUAUUAAUGCUAAUGAUUUCUAACCAAAUUAUAUGCAACUCAGUGAUUUUGUGCAACAGAAAGAAAUAUUUGAAUUUUAAUGAUCUUUAAGAAAAUAAUUAUCAAAAUAAGGUAAAACAUAAAAAAAUAAAAAUAAAAA